AAACAUAAGUUUCAUAAAUAUCUUUUUGAAUUAUAUAUAUAUUUAAAAAGAUUGUUUUAAUUUUUAUAAAAUCUUUCCUUUAUAUAUUUGGAAUUAUUUGAUAUAAACAAACACUUAACAAUGAUUAUCUAAAAUAAAUAAAUAUAAUUUAUGUACCAAUUUAUAAUUUAAAUCUAAACAGUAAACUAUUUUGUCCGAGUCAGAAAUUGAUUUCAAAUUUUAAUACUGUUAGUGUACUAUUAUGUCGUUAAUUAAUAUAAUGUAUUAAUAUAAUAAAAGAAAAGUACAGAAAUAUAUAUAAAUAUAAAGAUAUGUGUGCGUGGCUAAAUUUACAUAUAGUAUAUGUUGGGGAAAAAGGUUUUAUAGUUAAAAGUAAACUUCCAUUGGGAAGUUGAGGGGGGAGUUUAGAAAACAGAAAAAAAAAAAAAAAGAAGAAGAAGAAGAAGAGAGGAUCAUGGUCUCUUAUUGGAACUUUCAUCUUCCAUCACCAAUUUCAUUUUUUUUGUAUCAAGCCUGUUAAGGAUCACUUAGCUAGGCGGUUAGUCAGUUAAUAAGCUCUUAAUACAGCUAAGAGUAGUUAAGAGCAGUUGGUAAAAUGCCUAUAAAAACAGAUUUCUAAUCUGAAUGUAAACAAGUAAGGUUAAUCCUUGAUGGAUGUGAACUCCUCGAGUUCCCUAACGGCACAUUUCCUCCACUACCUCGGUUCAUCCAAACUUCUGAUGGAUCUCUAGCUUCGAAUCCAUUGGCUUCGAUCUUUAAACAAUAGGACCGACUUUUAACUUCGUGGCUUCUUUCCACGAUCAGUGCGCCACUCUUGUCCUCAUUCACAGAAGCUCGAUCGGUGUGUGACAUCUAGACCACGGCAACGGAUUUUUUUGUGGCCGACACGGGUGCCAAACAGUCGUGCCUCCGUCAUGAGCUACAUUCAUUAAAGAAAGAUUUCGGAUGAAGAGAAACUGGAGAUAAUAUUUACCGGACUACUAUCGGAGUUCGAGGGCGUCGUCUCCUCUGCCUCCAUGUCAACCGAUACCUUCGUCGAAUGCAAAAGUCAACAUCACUGCGCGAUCUAAGAGGUCUCUAUUCAUGCAAACCUUGUUGAGUUCGCCCCGUUGUCCGUGGCAAAAGGUUCAAUCCGUGGUGGUCGCUUGUCUCCUCGUGGCCGUGGACGAAGCUUUCGGCCCGGGAUACAAUGCCAAAUUUGCAACCGUUUUGGGCACUUGGCUCAACGGUGUUACUACUGUUACCAUUGAGAGUCUGAACUCUCGCCGCCGCAGUCUUCGGUUGUUCAUCACGAAAGACCACCCGCUCCUCGUGGGUACCGAUCUGCAGUGACUCCAUGGGCUGUCAGUGAACCAGAUGCGUCGAAUGAGAAAAGGGGAGGUAGUGAAUGGGGUUAUCCAGCAAAGACACCUAGGUUUGGCUAUAAUUCCUAUGUCGGUCAAAAUCAAGGGGUGAAUCUUACUCAAAAUCAAGUAAAUGGUUUGGCAGGCCAUUAUAGCAAUCAAGUGGCACGUAGGCCGACCUAUGUCUAUGGGUCCAAUGCUCAUAAUUUGGCAAAUAUGCCCAGGCCCAAUGUAACACCCUUAAUCUAUAUCCGUCACCAAAUUAGGGUUAAAGGCGUUACCGGACAAAUUGAAAUAUUUUAUGAACAAUUCAUAUACAUCAUUCUCAAAUCAUAAUCAAUCAUCAACAAUAA